rnacentral:rRNA from 1 species
CCUACGGGAGGCAGCAGUGGGGAAUUUUUCACAAUGCCCGAAAGUGUGAUGCAGCAACGCCAGCGUGAGGGAUGAAGGCCCUCGGGUCGUAAACCUCUUUCGAUCGGGAAAAAUGGGCGGGUGAAGAGCCCGUUCUGAUGGUACCGGUAUGAAGACGCCCCGGCCAACUACGAUGCCAGCAGCCGCGGUAAU